GCCAGGAGUACUUUGAUGAAUAUUGAUGCAAAAAGCGUGUCGCUGUUUCAACGUCCACGGCCCGUGAAGGACUCAAAACCGCAUGGUCGUUCCACGAUGUUAAAUCCGACACAUAGCAGUCUGUUCUAACGUGAUACUCAUAAUCAUGGAGAUGGUAAGUAUCGUGAGUAAUAUCCCAUUAAUGUUUCCCGGUGGGCCCGCUACGGGCCCAUUUUAAUGGGGCCCUUCAAGGUGGAAUCGAGCCUAUACGAUAUUCCAUUCGCGUUCGUGGCAGUCUAAUUUAAGCUGCCCGUUUUUCGUGCGAUACGCAAGGCCCAACCGUACUGGUUGGGUCCCAUACGAGUUUAGUGAGGAUAGUUAUGGUUAUGCGAGAUCGGUACAGCCAUAACAUUAUACCACGUUCAAAGUUAUGGUGCCCCAGAGCCCAGCUUGUGCGAUGCUCAAAUCUCUCUACGUGUUUCUCGCCCAUUCUCAACCUCGCUUGGGCCUUAUAUUGAACCCCAUAACGCCUGUUGUCAAUACUUGCGUCAUCCUUACUGGCACCUAAUACUCUUCAAGUUAUAUUGGCUAUCUCAACUAUUCGGUUACUCGUAUUCGUUUGAACAGCUUAGUCCCUGACUAGAUUCUGGGCCUUAUCCAACGUCACCGGGUCCCAGCGAUUCCUAUGGAUACCCAUUCCCCUCGCGUGUUCCCUACUAUUUGCUCCUUUUUUCACGGAGGCUUUGCUGACCCUGCCUGGAGCCUCGAAUGGCGCAAUUUGUCCGAGAAAGGGCCCUUAAAAGAAAAGGGACGGGGGCCCCUUUAUCGCUUCCAAGGAUCUCAGCUUUCUGCGAGUUCCAGGAUCUCACUGUUACUGACCUAAUUUUAAUAAGACCCAAGUACUCCAUAUUCUUUCUCCCCAUAUUUUUAUCCGUUCACAAAAAUAUUUUUCUAUAAAACUUCAUCAGCCUAAUCUGCCCCUUAUGGUCCCAGUAACCUAACGAAAUGUACAAUAAAUUAUGAUUACAAUAAUUCAACAAGAUAUCUUAGUGAUAACCAUGCUUGGACAUAUGCAAUCCUUGAAAUAGGUGGAAUUAAUGGCUGAUACUAGAGAGUGCGUCUAAGAAAAGAAAAAAAGAUGGCCAUCACGAAGGUUAAGACAAGUUCCAGAGAAAUGAGACCAAGAACGAGGAUGAUGCCAGGCUGCAUUAUUUACGACUCCGACAAAUAAUAACGAAGGCCCUUUUCAACCACGUGUUUAUGAGAUAGGUGUGGGAUGGCUCCCGAACUACGCGGACCAUUCUUCCACGAGGGGCUGUACAGGCCAAGGGAAACAUUUCUACGGACAAAAAAUGUUCACAAGCACCAUCAAUGAUUCUCCACCGCGUCCAAGGAAUACUAAACUAUUUUAUUAUGUGAAUAAAAAAAAAAUUAAAAUAUAUAAAACCAAUAUUUGUCUCGCCUCUCACGAUUAUUGUCUCCUAGAGUCUCGAAACGACUCGUAACUACUACUAGUCCUAAAUAAUACGGCAAUUCCACCGUCUCGCGUCUCCUUCAUACAUGCCUACAGUGCCCCCACCCAAAGUACCUCGUUCGCUGUCGGCUAAUGAUAAUAACACGUCAGGUCCGUCGAGACUCACCCGAGAAAACCCGUUGCAGC